rnacentral:tmRNA from 1 species
GGGGCUGUUUUUGGAUUUGACAAAAUUAUCAACAAAGUAAAGUGCAUGCCGAGGAACGGUUUGCCUCGAUAAAAGCCGUAAAACAAUAAUUGCAAAUAAUACACAAAAAUACGCUUUAGCAGCUUAAAAAACUGUAUCAAGCCCUUCCUUCUUAGCCUUUUUCUCUUAGGAUGAGAAAUUCGGGAGGUCAUAAAAAAGAGAAAAACGUGAACAUCAAGCUUGAUGAUGACACGAAGAAAUUUUUCAAGCUAUAAACCUAAAAUGCGUUUUUCCAAAUUAGGUAAUGAAUUGAAUAAAGAAAAAACUAAGCAUGUAGUACUUUAUUCGUAGAGAUUUUGGACGCGGGUUCAAAUCCCGCCAGCUCCAA